CUUCUGUUUCUCAAGUAAAUUCUACCAUUUUUAUUUAAUUUAACAACGAUUGAUCGAGGUCUAUUUAUGUCAACUCUAAUAACUGAUGCUGGUUCCCAAACACUUCCAAAUUGAACCAUUACAUGGUCACCAGUUUUUAUAUGAGGUACAUGACCUUUGAGAGUGCGACCAAACAAAAGUUGUGCCGGAGAUGGAGUAUCUCGACCGAUUGGUGUAUUUCUGUAUUCCAGAAGUGUUAAAUGUAAAUCUUUACCAUCAAAUAAAGCCUUUUUAAACAUU